UAGAACACAAACGUGAUGUGCAUAAAAUCUUAAUUUUCUCAUGUCUAUUACUUUAUUACAAGAGAGCUUGAAACAGAGAUUAAAUUUGAGGAAGGAUGGACGUCUUACAUGCAGAUGAAAAGGUAUAACCAAACUGAUAAGUAUAGGAGGAGAGCCUGAACCACCAAUUGAUUCUGAUGAAUAUAUGAAACUUUACACACAGGACUAUGUGCAAACAACGUCGUGAUUACUCAUUUAUUCACACCAGCUUUAUGAUAAGUACCCUCAAGUAAUUGAAGAAUUUAUACUAUACAAAUGCUAGGUGUUUCCGUCUUUAAGGGAGAAGCAUGAUGAAUAUAUGUUAGAAGAGCUUGUUAAGAGGUGGAAUAACCAUAUAUAAUGUUAUGGUUAGAUGGUUAGCCAGAUUCUUUUAUUAUAUUGAACGUUGCUUGGGUAGAGGCACUCCAAGACUGAGAGAAGUUGGUUUGACAUGCAUCCACCGUUCCACGACCUCGUUUGUCAAGCAAAUUCCUCCUAUAUAUAGGUUAUAACUUCUCACUGCCUCAGCACCUUUUUUUGUAACCGUCCAGCAAUUAUUUACCUUAGGUUUAUCGUAACAUG